AUUGAACGCUGGCGGCAGGCCUAACACAUGCAAGUCGAACGGUAACAGGAAACAGCUUGCUGUUUCGCUGACGAGUGGCGGACGGGUGAGUAAUGUCUGGGAAACUGCCUGAUGGAGGGGGAUAACUACUGGAAACGGUAGCUAAUACCGCAUAAUGUCGCAAGACCAAAGAGGGGGACCUUCGGGCCUCUUGCCAUCGGAUGUGCCCAGAUGGGAUUAGCUAGUAGGUGGGGUAACGGCUCACCUAGGCGACGAUCCCUAGCUGGUCUGAGAGGAUGGCCAGCCACACUGGAACUGAGACACGGUCCAGACUCCUACGGGAGGCAGCAGUGGGGAAUAUUGCACAAUGGGCGCAAGCCUGAUGCAGCCAUGCCGCGUGUAUGAAGAAGGCCUUCGGGUUGUAAAGUACUUUCAGCGGGGAGGAAGGGAGUAAAGUUAAUACCUUUGCUCAUUGACGUUACCCGCAGAAGAAGCACCGGCUAACUCCGUGCCAGCAGCCGCGGUAAUACGGAGGGUGCAAGCGUUAAUCGGAAUUACUGGGCGUAAAGCGCACGCAGGCGGUUUGUUAAGUCAGAUGUGAAAUCCCCGGGCUCAACCUGGGAACUGCAUCUGAUACUGGCAAGCUUGAGUCUCGUAGAGGGGGGUAGAAUUCCAGGUGUAGCGGUGAAAUGCGUAGAGAUCUGGAGGAAUACCGGUGGCGAAGGCGGCCCCCUGGACGAAGACUGACGCUCAGGUGCGAAAGCGUGGGGAGCAAACGGGAUUAGAUACCCUGGUAGUCCACGCCGUAAACGAUGUCGACUUGGAGGUUGUGCCCUUGAGGCGUGGCUUCCGGAGCUAACGCGUUAAGUCGACCGCCUGGGGAGUACGGCCGCAAGGUUAAAACUCAAAUGAAUUGACGGGGGCCCGCACAAGCGGUGGAGAAUGUGGUUUAAUUCGAUGCAACGCGAAGAACCUUACCUGGUCUUGACAUCCACAGAACUUUCCAGAGAUGGAUUGGUGCCUUCGGGAACUGUGAGACAGGUGCUGCAUGGCUGUCGUCAGCUCGUGUUGUGAAAUGUUGGGUUAAGUCCCGCAACGAGCGCAACCCUUAUCCUUUGUUGCCAGCGGUCCGGCCGGGAACUCAAAGGAGACUGCCAGUGAUAAACUGGAGGAAGGUGGGGAUGACGUCAAGUCAUCAUGGCCCUUACGACCAGGGCUACACACGUGCUACAAUGGCGCAUACAAAGAGAAGCGACCUCGCGAGAGCAAGCGGACCUCAUAAAGUGCGUCGUAGUCCGGAUUGGAGUCUGCAACUCGACUCCAUGAAGUCGGAAUCGCUAGUAAUCGUGGAUCAGAAUGCCACGGUGAAUACGUUCCCGGGCCU
rnacentral:rRNA from 1 species